rnacentral:rRNA from 1 species
AGAUUGAACGCUGGCGGCAUGCCUUACACAUGCAAGUCGAACGGCAGCACGGGAGCAAUCCUGGUGGCGAGUGGUGAACGGGUGAGUAAUAUAUCGGAACGUGCCCAGUCGUGGGGGAUAACGCAGCGAAAGCUGUGCUAAUACCGCAUACGAUCUAUGGAUGAAAGCGGGGGAUCGCAAGACCUCUCGCGAUUGGAGCGGCCGAUAUCAGAUUAGCUAGUUGGUGGGGUAAAAGCCUACCAAGGCGACGAUCUGUAGCUGGUCUGAGAGGACGACCAGCCACACUGGAACUGAGACACGGUCCAGACU